ACAUUUAAUUAGAAACAUUUUUAUUAUUGGAGCCUGUACUUGAAGGUUCAACACAGAAAUCACAAGAUGAAGCUGAUGCAAUUCGUCAUUUUGAUCGCCCUGACUUUUGUGCUCAUAGUCAUGGAAGCACAUAUGACAGGAGUGGAGGGUACGGUAUCAGAAAGACACGGUUUCCAACGGUUCUGUUGUCGGAAUCAUCGGUUUCUUUUCCGUUGCUUUAAAUGGUGUACCAGGAUUCUGAUUUCGACAGAAUAAGGAAUUCAAAAUAUAAUCAUGGUACCUGCUACUGUGGAUAAAGGACACACAUUAGCCAUCAAAGGAUACCUUUCAAAGAAAGAAAUUAAUAAUUGUCUUCACUUGUUCUUUAUUACUAAUAAACAACAAUUAAUAUGUAAA